GCAUUGGUGGCUCAGUGGUAGAAUUUCCGCCUUCCAUGUGGGAGACCUUGGUUCGAUUCCCAGCCAAUGUA
rnacentral:tRNA from 1 species